rnacentral:rRNA from 1 species
UACGUAGGUGGCAAGCGUUGUCCGGAAUCAUUGGGCGUAAAGAGCGCGUAGGUGGCUUGUCAGGUCUGGUGUGAAAUUUCGGGGCUCAACCCCGAACCUGCAUCGGAAACCGGCUUGCUAGAGUCUGGGAGAGGAGAGUGGAAUUCCUGGUGUAGCGGUGAAAUGCGUAGAUAUCAGGAGGAACACCGGUAGCGAAGGCGGCUCUCUGGAACAGUACUGACGCUGAGGCGCGAAAGCUAGGGGAGCGAAC